rnacentral:lncRNA from 1 species
GCACAUAUACGACGUACGAGCGAGAUUAGAUGUCGAAGGAGUUCUUGCCGGUGAACUUGACCUCGAUGGGGCUGACGUUCUUGCCGAUGCUGCGGAAGUUCUGUCCCACGCCCUGCCUGCCGGCGUUGACCUUCUCCGGGUAGACGCCGUCCUUGGGGUGGAGGUACUGCACCUCGCCGUUGGGGAAGACGCGGUAGAACUGGUAGGCGAUCUUGUACUUGGAGCGGAGGCGGUUGCCGAGGGCGAGGCACUGCUCCUUGCGGGCGAGCUUGAGGAGGUUGGGGCCCUCGCGCAUGAUGGCGGCGCCGCCGGUGGGCAUCUCGAAGACCUGCUCCUUGGGGGAGGUCCAGGUGAUGACGUAGAACUCCUCGACCUGGGCCUUGCGGAGCAGCCCACCGGUGCUGCCGCCGAAGAUCGGGGACGGCGUGGACGGGUCCAGCUGCGGCGGCACGAAGCCCGCGGGGGCGGGCUCCGCCGGCGGCGCGGCGGGCGCGGGGGUGUCCGGGGCCGCGGCGAAGAGCGGGGCCGGGCCGCGGGCGGAGGAUGGCAUGGCGAGGGUGGCGGGGCGGGGCUUGGCGGAUGGCGACCAGGCCGCGGUGAUCAGGUGGCGCGUCGCCGCCGAGGCUUGCGUGGCCAUGGCCAUGGCGGUGGCGCUCUAGCUUGUGGUUCUUGGCGAGGAGAUGGGGAAGAGAGCGGAGACCACACGCGCGCGCGGGAGAUGGAGUG